rnacentral:rRNA from 1 species
CUCCCUUUCGUAGGUGACCUGCGGAAGGACAU